UUGACCUCAAAUCAGGUAGGAUUACCCGCUGAACUUAAGCAUAUCAAUAAGCGGAGGAAAAGAAACUAACAAGGAUUCCCCUAGUAACUGCGAGUGAAGAGGGAAAAGCUCAAAUUUAAAAUCUGGCAGCUUUGCUGUCCGAGUUGUAAUUUAG
rnacentral:rRNA from 1 species